rnacentral:rRNA from 1 species
UGGGGAAUCUUGCACAAUGGGGGCAACCCUGAUGCAGCGACGCCGCGUGAGCGAUGAAGCCCUUCGGGGUGUAAAGCUCUUUCGUCAGGGAAGAAACAGACGGUACCCGGAGGAGCAGCUGCGGCUAACUACGUGCCAGCAGCCGCGGUAAUACGUAGGCAGCGAGCGUUGUUCGGAGUUACUGGGCGUAAAGGGUGUGUAGGCGGUUCUUUAAGUUUGUUGUGAAAUCUCCCGGCUUAACCGGGAGGGUGCGGCGAAUACUGAGGGACUAGAGUAUGGGAGAGGAAAGUGGAAUUCCUGGUGUAGCGGUGAAAUGCGUAGAUAUCAGGAGGAACACCGGUGGUGUAGACGGCUUUCUGGACCAUAACUGACGCUGAGACACGAAAGCGUGGGUAGCAAACAGGAUUAGAUACCCUGGUAGUCCACGCCCUAAACGAUGCAUAUUUGGUGUGGGCAGUUCAUUCUGUCCGUGCCGGAGCUAACGCGUUAAAUAUGCCGCCUGGGGAGUACAGUCGCAAGGCUG